rnacentral:rRNA from 1 species
CGAGCGGACAGAAGGGAGCUUGCUCCCGGAUGUUAGCGGCGGACGGGUGAGUAACACGUGGGUAACCUGCCUGUAAGACUGGGAUAACUCCGGGAAACCGGAGCUAAUACCGGAUAGUUCCUUGAACCGCAUGGUUCAAGGAUGAAAGACGGUUUCGGCUGUCACUUACAGAUGGACCCGCGGCGCAUUAGCUAGUUGGUGAGGUAACGGCUCACCAAGGCGACGAUGCGUAGCCGACCUGAGAGGGUGAUCGGCCACACUGGGACUGAGACACGGCCCAGACUCCUACGGGAGGCAGCAGUAGGGAAUCUUCCGCAAUGGACGAAAGUCUGACGGAGCAACGCCGCGUGAGUGAUGAAGGUUUUCGGAUCGUAAAGCUCUGUUGUUAGGGAAGAACAAGUGCAAGAGUAACUGCUUGCACCUUGACGGUACCUAACCAGAAAGCCACGGCUAACUACGUGCCAGCAGCCGCGGUAAUACGUAGGUGGCAAGCGUUGUCCGGAAUUAUUGGGCGUAAAGGGCUCGCAGGCGGUUUCUUAAGUCUGAUGUGAAAGCCCCCGGCUCAACCGGGGAGGGUCAUUGGAAACUGGGAAACUUGAGUGCAGAAGAGGAGAGUGGAAUUCCACGUGUAGCGGUGAAAUGCGUAGAGAUGUGGAGGAACACCAGUGGCGAAGGCGACUCUCUGGUCUGUAACUGACGCUGAGGAGCGAAAGCGUGGGGAGCGAACAGGAUUAGAUACCCUGGUAGUCCACGCCGUAAACGAUGAGUGCUAAGUGUUAGGGGGUUUCCGCCCCUUAGUGCUGCAGCUAACGCAUUAAGCACUCCGCCUGGGGAGUACGGUCGCAAGACUGAAACUC